ACAUGGGCGCAAGCCUGAUGCAGCCAUGCCGCGUGUGUGAAGAAGGCCUUCGGGUUGUAAAGCACUUUCAGCGGGGAGGAAGGCGUUAAGGUUAAUAACCUUGGCGAUUGACGUUACCCGCAGAAGAAGCACCGGCUAACUCCGUGCCAGCAGCCGCGGUAAUACGGAGGGUGCAAGCGUUAAUCGGAAUUACUGGGCGUAAAGCGCACGCAGGCGGUCUGUCAAGUCGGAUGUUUCAUGAACUGGCUCAACCUGGGAACUGCUUAACAAGGUGUCACGCUAUAGUCUUUUUGCCUGGCUCAGAAUUCAAUCUGUAUCAAGGGAAUCCCCAUAUUUUUUUCGGGAUAACUACUGCGAAGACGGCCCCCUAGACUAAUACUGACGCAUAAUGUGCGCAAGCGUGGGGACCAAAGUGGAUUAGGGACCYUCGGGCCUCCAUGCCAUCACAUGAUGCCCAGAUGGAGAUUGAGCUAGUGAGGUGUGGGUAACGGCUCACCUAAGGCGUUAAAUCGAUCGCCUGGGGAG
rnacentral:rRNA from 1 species